GAUGAACGCUGGCGGCGUGCCUAAUACAUGCAAGUCGAGCGAACAGACGAGGAGCUUGCUCCUCUGACGUUAGCGGCGGACGGGUGAGUAACACGUGGAUAACCUACCUAUAAGACUGGGAUAACUCCGGGAAACCGGAGCUAAUACCGGAUAAUAUAUUGAACCGCAUGGUUCAAUAGUGAAAGACGGUUUUGCUGUCGCUUAUAGAUGGAUCCGCGCCGCAUUAGCUAGUUGGUAAGGUAACGGCUUACCAAGGCAACGAUGCGUAGCCGACCUGAGAGGGUGAUCGGCCACACUGGAACUGAGACACGGUCCAGACUCCUACGGGAGGCAGCAGUAGGGAAUCUUCCGCAAUGGGCGAAAGCCUGACGGAGCAACGCCGCGUGAGUGAUGAAGGUCUUCGGAUCGUAAAACUCUGUUAUUAGGGAAGAACAAAUGUGUAAGUAACUAUGCACGUCUUGACGGUACCUAAUCAGAAAGCCACGGCUAACUACGUG
rnacentral:rRNA from 1 species